CGCCAGAAUGCUACAGUAGAAUAACCAACGUUGCCGAAAAUGUUGUGGACUUUUUGUUGAAGAACCCCUUUCAUUCUCUUGGGUACACGGUGCGAAUUAAAAGUGAGGGUCGACCUCUGCCUUAGAUCAGUUUCAUGAAGAAGGAUGAAAAGGUGAAGGCUUUCAAUACCAACUGGUAUCAAAAGUAUAACGUUAGCUGGUUAACAUGGAGCCUUUAAUCAAGCCGCCUGUAUUGCUUGCCUUGCCUGCUUUUUGGAAGGUCUGAGACCUAGUCGAAAGGUGGGUACAGGGACCCGAAGAACACCAAUCGUUCCACAGGCAGCAUAUAAAUGCCCACAUCAGAUUCAAGCUUCAGGGAAAAAGCUGCAUCGAUCAUAACGAAGGUCUGCGUAUUCAAACUGCGCGACACAACGAGAAAGAAGAAACAGGGAUGUUUUCAAGCGGCUUGUCAACACCACUACGUUUUUGGGCAUGCAAUAAUUUGCUUUUCGAGGACACUACAAGCGGGUAAAUUUUGCCGACAAGGGAAACUACAAUGAGCUUGCAGCGGAGACCGACAGCAUUUAUCUGCUAAAAAAUAAGUUGGUCAGCCAAAAGGGAAGUUGGAUGAAGGUUAUGGAAAGACCCAUGUGAUCGGAUAGAUUGGAUAACUACUUCGGGAACUGAUGGACCCUAACGUUAAUGCACUCAAACCUGAGUCUGUGGUUGUCACGACUUCCGCCGAAGUCGGCUCCUCCUUGUUCGGGCGGCGUUCGGUGAUCGAUGUCACUGGCUUUUUUUUUGUUUUGUCUUGUUCCAUACACACCUGGUUUUCAUUCCCUAAUCACACUGCAUGUAUUUAUGUUAUGUGGGUAUAGUUACGCGCCAUACUUUUUGUCUAUGUUCCGUGUUUGGGCACAUGUAUGUACUUUUGUGCUUUCGUUGGACCGGAAUAAAAAGUGUGCCUGUUCACUACA